AGAAUCACGAGGCCAAUGAACAAUUUUCUAAUCUAACACAAGCAAUUUUCAAAUUAGUUCUAGACUGACUCCAUGACCAAUCCUUUUCAGUCCAAAAAAAGAUUCCUACUCUUCCCCUAUUCUCAUUACAUGCCUCCCACCACCCAAAUGGACCUUAAGCAUAACGUAGAGGCUCCAAUGUCCUCAAUGCUCUGCCAGUCGCCAUCUCUUCUUCAUUUUAUAUUAAUGUGGGUGACUUAGCAUCCCUGAUUAAUAAUAAUAAGCAAGUUGAUGCCAUUUCCAAGCUUUGUAUCAGUUUCUGCAACUCAGAUUGAUAGGGGUAGGCAAAUAGUCCAAAUCAGUGACUAUUAUUAUUAUUAUUUUUCUUGCUUCGGUUCAAAGGAGUGAGAAGGAAAAUUCAGGGUUUUGACUGCAAGUUCUUAAUCAGUAGAUUAAUCCAAUGAUCAAAUGAAUAAUUAUAGGUAUAUAUAUACAUUUUUAAACAUGCAUUGUAUUAUUAAAAUGAAACAGUUGACCCACUGUUUCAUAGCUCCAUGUUGCAGGAAAAUGCUGUCAUCAUUAUUUAGUGUUUCUCUCUUUGUCCUGAUUCCUUCAAUUUCAUAACUACCCCUGUUAUGAUACAUUUCUGCUUAAAAUUUGUUUAUAUGGUAUUGGCUGGUUUUGACAUCAACCUCUGUGGCUUUGUUCUUUCUCCUUUCUUUUCAUUUAAACAGCUUUAUAAUUUAGUCUUUCCUGGUCUGUUAAGAACUUUAAGAAAGAAGCAAGAAUCAUGCUGAGUAAUCCAGAACAACUUACCAUAAAUGGAGAAUCUAAGGUACUUUCUUUUCCCAUUGAUUUUCAAGAAUUCUUAGCCCAUCUAGUAUUUUCGUGUAUUCCUGAUAUGUGGGGUUUAUGGAUUUGUAAAUUUUCAGGACAUGAUAGAAGGUAAACUUGAAGACCCACAAGCUUCUAUAUCCAAUAAUUCACCAAUGCAGAAUGGCAGGCCAAGCAGCAUGGUUAUCAAGGCAAGUCUUAUUCUCUUUGAAUAGUUUCCCUCUUGAGUUUGUAAGAUCUAUGUAUACAUUAUUGGUGUUUCUUGCUUAAAUUGAUUCAAGUUUUGCUUUGAUAAUAACAGAAAGCAAAUAGGGUAAUUCCAGCUCACCUGGUAGCUGAAGCCAUAUCAACCAUCCGAGGCCUUGACCUGAGAUGGUCAGGACCAAUAACUCCUAGCGAAAUGGAGUAUGUUAGGCAGUAUGUGUUCGCCAAGUACCCUCAAUAUUGCAAUGGAAUUGUGGAAGAGAGAGUCACAAUUGAUCUAACCAAUCUCUCUAUCAACGAGGAAUCAUCGGAAUCUACUCAGGAUGAAAAGCGCAAUAAUUCCCCCAAGAGUCUUGCAUCUAAAGAGACUUCAUCUCCUUCCUUCACUCGUAGCCUCUCCGAUCUUGACAAAACCCAAUUGGAGGCCUCAAGACUUCUAGAUAUCCUUUCCAAGAAAACUUCCUUUCAAGGGAAUUUCAUUUCAAUCCCAGAAAUCCAAGCUCGAAAUCGAGCCCUGAAACACUGUGGUCUUAGCGAAGAAGACUACUUGGUCCUUUUCAUGCCAAACUAUAGGGACGCUAUGGCGAUGAUUGGAGAGAGCUACCCUUUCUUUAAGGGCAACUACUACAUGACAAUUCUUGGUGAAGAAGUUGACACCAUUAGGGAAUUUGCAACUCAGAGAGAAUCAAAGGUUAUUCCAAUGCCAGAAACAUGGUUGGAUCUCAGGAUCAAAGGGUCACAACUUAGCCAAUACUUUAGAAGGAAGUGCAAGUACACACCAAAGGGCCUUUUCUCUUAUCCAGUUGCUGUGAAUGGGACUAGAUACUCUAUGCAUUGGAUUUCAGAGGCACAUAGAAAUUCUUGGCAUGUUCUCCUCGAUGCUACAGGCUUGGUUUUUGGGGAGGAUCGGCUAGCCCUUGCACUCCACCGGCCAGAUUUUGUGCUGUGUACACUUGAUAAUACACAUGGUCAGCCUUCAAAAAUCACUUGCCUCUUGGUCAGGAAAAUAUCAUUUGAUACCUCGGCAUCUUUGGCCUAGAUUCUCUUACUGCAAAAUUGCCGGUAAUGAGGAUGUUAGGAUGUCAUUUUACCAUUAUGUUCCUUUUUCAAUUGGAACGUUUUUUAUUCUCUUCUCAAUUGCAUGCUCAAAACUGAAUGCAUACAUGGAAAAAAUGCACUUUUAAGAUUACUUGAAGAGAAAAUUUAGUCUCGAGAUACUCCUGAUAUAAGUAUUAAAAAAUUGCAAAUUUAUAAUUUUGAAAUUACUUCAAUAUCAUUGAAUGGAAGUUCG
rnacentral:misc_RNA from 1 species